rnacentral:misc_RNA from 1 species
AUUUCGGAAAUAAAAACAGCAGACAUUCCUGAUAAUGUCCUAUCCUCUGUUGGAGUUGUAAGCGAUGAAUGUGUUUGACUUCCAACUUAUCAAGGAUUUGCUUUUCUCGGCCUGAUUUCAGGUCUUCCUCUCUGUAUAUGUCUCUUUUUGUAUUUAAAUUUUAUUGCGAGUGUAUUACUUGAGUAAUAAUGUAACUAUUAAACCCCUUAUAAUCAUGUUCACAUCGACCU